rnacentral:rRNA from 1 species
AUUGAACGCUGGCGGCAGGCCUAACACAUGCAAGUCGAGCGGAUGAAGGGUGCUUGCGCCUGGAUUCAGCGGCGGACGGGUGAGUAAUGCCUAGGAAUUUGCCUGGUAUUAGGGGAUAACGUCCGGAAACGGGCGCUAAUACCGCAUACGUCCUGAGGGAGAAAGAGGGGGAUCUUCGGACCUCACGCUAUCAGAUGAGCCUAGGUCGGAUUAGCUAGUUGGUGGGGUAAAGGCCUACCAAGGCGACGAUCCGUAACUGGUCUGAGAGGAUGAUCAGUCACACUGGAAGGGGGACACGGUCAAGACUACUACGGGAGGCAGCAGUGGGGAAUAUUGGACAAUGGGGGAAAGCCUGAUCCAGCCAGGCCGAGUGUGUGAAGAAGGUCUUCGGAGUGUAAAGCCCUUUAAGUUGGGAGGAAGGGCAGUAAGUUAAUACCUUGCUGUUUUGACGUUACCAACAGAAUAAGCACCGGCUAACUACGUG